rnacentral:rRNA from 1 species
CCUACGGGAGGCAGCAGUGGGGAAUUUUGGACAAUGGGGGCAACCCUGAUCCAGCAAUGCCGCGUGUGCGAAGAAGGCCUUCGGGUUGUAAAGCACUUUUGUCAGGGAAGAAAUCUUUUGGGCUAAUACCCCGGAAGGAUGACGGUACCUGAAGAAUAAGCACCGGCUAACUACGUGCCAGCAGCCGCGGUAAUACGUAGGGUGCAAGCGUUAAUCGGAAUUACUGGGCGUAAAGCGUGCGCAGGCGGUUCGCUAAGACAGUCGUGAAAUCCCCGGGCUUAACCUGGGAACUGCGAUUGUGACUGGCGAGCUAGAGUACGGCAGAGGGGGGUGGAAUUCCUGGUGUAGCAGUGAAAUGCGUAGAGAUCAGGAGGAACACCGAUGGCGAAGGCAGCCCCCUGGGCUAGUACUGACGCUCAUGCACGAAAGCGUGGGGAGCAAACAGGAUUAGAUACCCUGGUAGUCCACGCCCUAAACGAUGUCAAUUAGUUGUUGGUCCUUCAUUGAAUCAGUAACGAAGCUAACGCGUGAAAUUGACCGCCUGGGGAGUACGGUCGCAAGAUUAAAACUCAAAGGAAUUGACGG